rnacentral:rRNA from 1 species
GAAAGACGGAAUAGCCGAGAACUCGAUUAUACCGAUACCUUCACACAGCCGCAUGGUUGAGUGAAGAAAGUUCAGGCGCUUUGGGAGGGUCUCGCGGCCUAUCAGCUUGUUGGUGAGGUAAUGGCUCACCAAGGCAUCGACGGGUAGCUGGUCUGAGAGGACGAUCAGCCACACUGGGACUGAGACACGGCCCAGACUCCUACGGGAGGCAGCAGUAGGGAAUCUUGCGCAAUGGGCGNAAGCCUGACGCAGCAACGCCGCGUGGGGGAUGAAUGCCUUCGGGUUGUAAACCCCUUUCAGCGAGGGACGAAAAUGACGGUACCUGC